UGGUCUAGUGGGUAGGAUACCUGGCUCUCGCCCAGGAGGCCCGGGAUCGAUUCCCGG
rnacentral:tRNA from 1 species